rnacentral:tRNA from 1 species
GCUGCCUUAGCUCAGCGGUAGAGCAGCUGUUUUGUAAACAGCAGGUCGUCAGUUCAAAUCUGACAGGCAGCU